AAAACACACAGCACAACAGCAGCUCAUCAGUAUUCAACACAGUGUCACCGUGAUGGAGAGAAACAAGCAACGUGAAAGAGAGCAAAAGAGGGGGAAAGAGGAACGGAGAGAUUAGGCCCAGUAUGUGGGAGAGCAGGGUUAGAGAUGCGGCAGGCUGAUUUGUCUGUGAGCGUUGCACCCGUCAUUUUAUAGGGCCUCAUUUCACUGGCCUGGAUAAGAGCCCUGGUUUACAGCCUAUAAUAGCAGCAACACUGUCACGGGGAGCACCUACUUUUUCAUGUUCUUGACCUUCAUGCUUGCCGUGCUGACGCAGGAGCGCAGGAGGGGCUCGGCUGUAUGCUCUGGGACAUCGUCACUCCUCACCUGACAAACGGAGAGAGUAAACAUCAGUAAAGUGUCAGUCACUGUGGCAGAUGGGAUCACGGCUAAGAAUAACUGUGCUGAUCAUAAAACCACGGCUGUGCAGCAAACGUGACAAACUUAUACAUCUGGCGUCAGAGUAAAGUUAUUUCCUGGUGAGAUGACACUCCUGGAUAUCAAGUUUACUUUAUGCCUUCAAAACUCAGAACAAAUCUUUAAAUAUGUCAUUAUUUGCUCAUGCAGUGGCUGAUAUAUUGAUCAUUAUGGAUUUGUUUGGAAUUUGAGAAUGAUAUCAUUGUUUUACAUGCACUACAUUAUACCAUGUUAUUCUAACAUCAUGUUUUUGAUUGAAUGUACUUAAAUUACAAUAAUCUAUCAGAUGACGACUUAUGAGAAAAUCAAUAAAUGUACAGGUUACAAAUGAAUGGGUUGUUCUAUUCAUUUAGUUAAAUUUUGUUGCAAGGAGGCCACAACAGCAAUUUUUCAGAUUAAUAACCAAUCAAUCGUGCAACAUAAAUGGCAAUAACCAGGUUAUUUUUCACCUCCAAGACAAUUGUGGACUUGGACCUGUUUUGUUGUUAUACUACAGUUAAAUUGUUCUCGUAUUAUCCUUGUGUUGUUAUGCUACCCUAAGCUAUAGUAGGAUAUUUUCAGCAAAAUCUUAUGUAACAUAUUAUUUAAUAAUAUAUUAUGUUAUGCAGCAAUAAAGUUAGAUUAUUCUUUGCCAUUUGAAGCUAUGCUGUUACUCUAAUAUGUUUUAAGAUAAGUUUGCAUUUGAUUAUUUGUGGUCAUCUAAUGGAUGUGCAGGAUGAUGUAUAUUAUGAAAAUCUGAAUAAAAAGGCUGAUAGAGAAAAUAA